CAAAUCUUAGCGGGACUGCUUGCAGUACCCACAUACGCACAAGGUCGCAAGGCCUUGAUGUUUACGCUUGUUUGUUUGACAGAGUUAGUUGAGAAUUAAAUAAAGA
rnacentral:misc_RNA from 1 species